UUCUCACUAUUUUGCAAUUUUAACAUUGUUGAAUUUAUGCCAUGUUUUCAAAAUGUUUUCAUCCUGUGAUUUUUGUUCUUAUCAGCUUUAUCGUAUACCUGUAUUGUCUCUCUCAACAGGUUCUCUGAGGAUUUAGAUAAAUACAAGUGUGUUGCAGGAUAUAGAUUCUUAUCAGCCGACACAAUAACAGGUAACUACCUGACUCUUGUGGCUGAUACUGGUAAAAGAAAUCAACAUUUUUAUGCUUUUUCAUGCAUACCUGAAUGCAAGAAAGGCUAAAAUGUGGUGAGCAAAGAUGGUUUGAUUGUUGUUCUUCUUCUCUGUUUUUUAUUGGCUGCACAGAACACAAUUUUACACAAAUUUCUUUAUCUGCAGCUGAUCAGUAAUGUACAUUUUCCCUUAAAAUAAAUGAAUGAAUGGAAAAUAUAACAAUAUAUUGCCAUUGGUUCCAAAACACAUGCGUCAUUCCAGCGUGAUCAAAAUGCAUUUUCAAAUUAUUGCAACAUAUUGUUUAAAUGUCAGUCAACACAGCUGCACAAAUGCUUCAGAUGACGUAUUUAAAUUCCUCUCCGUGGUGUGAACUUACUACUGAAUGAGAGAUCUGCCAAAUAAAACAUCAGUGGGUUGUUCCCACCUCUACAUGAUCUUGCAGGUACUUUCUCUCUCUCGCAGCAGCAGCAGGAGAUAAUAACUGUGACGGAAAGUUCCCAUGAAGCCAAAAGUCAGAAUGACUCAGCUCUGGAGCAAAGGUGAUGAGAGCAGUGUAGCACCCACCUGACGGAGAUAUGUGAGCUCCGGCUCCUGCGUGGAAAAAAAACCCCUCCACCUGACCAGCAGACAAAAAGACACAGGUGUGAAGAAGGAGAAGGACUAACAGCACCUCCUUCACCGUGAAUCAGGUUUCAAAUCAGAGACGGAGCCUUGGAGGAAGCUUUUAUAACGUGAUGAGGUCCUGCCUCUUGGAUACGGUUACCUGACAGCAAAACACGAUAAACAAUAACAAUGAACAAUCAAACAUGACUUCCUGUAGUAGAGGAGAAGGUCAGGUGAAGAGAACUCCACCCAUUUAAAUUGAACUGAAUGACGUAACAGUAGCUGAAGAGGACUUUGGACUUGAUCUGCCUCCAGCUGUUGGCCUCAUGGUACCUGAUCCACAACAUGUGAUCGUUAGCACUGUCUAGUGGCCACAGAUGGAACUGCAUGUUGAGUUUGACAACUUUGUGUCACGUAUGAAUCAAUAAAACACUCAGGAAAC